GAUGAACGCUAGCGGCAGGCUUAAUACAUGCAAGUCGAGGGGCAGCAUGAUUGUAGCAAUACAAUUGAUGGCGAACGGCAAACGGGUGCGGAACACGUACACAACCUCCCAAUAAGUGGGGAAUAGCCCAGAGAAAUUUGGAUUAAUACACCGUAACAUAACGAUGUGGCAUCACAUUGUUAUUAUAGAUUUUUCGCUUAUUGAUGGGUGUGCGGCUGAUUAGAUAGUUGGCGGGUUAACGGCCCACCAAGUCUACGAUCAGUAGCUGAUGUGAGAGCAUGAUCAGCCACACGGGCACUGAGACACGGGCCCGACUCCUACGGGAGGCAGCAGUAAGGAAUAUUGGACAAUGGACGCAAGUCUGAUCCAGCCAUGCCGCGUGAAGGAUUAAGGUCCUCUGGAUUGUAAACUUCUUUUAUAAGGGACGAAAAAAGGCUUUUCUAAGUCGUCUGACGGUACCUUAUGAAUAAGCACCGGCUAACUCCGUGCCAGCCGCCGCCGUAAAAC
rnacentral:rRNA from 1 species